rnacentral:rRNA from 1 species
GUGAACGCUGGCGGUAGGCCUAACACAUGCAAGUCGAACGGCAGCACAGUAAGAGCUUGCUCUUACGGGUGGCGGGUGGCGGACGGGUGAGGAAUACAUCGGAAUCUACUUUUUCGUGGGGGAUAACGUAGGGAAACUUACGCUAAUACCGCAUACGACCUACGGGUGAAAGCAGGGGAUCUUCGGACCUUGCGCGAUUGAAUGAGCCGAUGUCGGAUUAGCUAGUUGGCGGGGUAAAGGCCCACCAAGGCGACGAUCCGUAGCUGGUCUGAGAGGAUGAUCGGCCACACUGGAACUGAGACACGGUCCAGACUCCUACGGGAGGCAGCAGUGGGAAAUAUUGGACAAUGGGCGCAAGCCUGAUCCAGCCAUACCGCGUGGGUGAAGAAGGCCUUCGGGUUGUAAAGCCCUUUUGUUGGGAAAGAAAAGCAGCAGGUUAAUACCCCGCUGUUCUGACGGUACCCAAAGAAUAAGCACCGGCUAACUUCGUG